AGUGAACGUUGGCGGUAGGCCUAACACAUGCAAGUCGAACGGCAGCACAGUAAGAGCUUGCUCUUACGGGUGGCGAGUGGCGGACGGGUGAGGAAUACAUCGGAAUCUACUUUUUCGUGGGGGAUAACGUAGGGAAACUUACGCUAAUACCGCAUACGACCUACGGGUGGAAGCAGGGGAUCUUCGGACCUUGCGCGAUUGAAUGAGCCGAUGUCGGAUUAGCUAGUUGGCGGGGUAAAGGCCCACCAAGGCGACGAUCCGUAGCUGGUCUGAGAGGAUGAUCAGCCACACUGGAACUGAGACACGGUCCAGACUCCUACGGGAGGCAGCAGUGGGGAAUAUUGGACAAUGGGCGCAAGCCUGAUCCAGCCAUACCGCGUGGGUGAAGAAGGCCUUCGGGUUGUAAAGCCCUUUUGUUGGGAAAGAAAAGCAGCAGGUUAAUACCCCGCUGUUCUGACGGUACCCAAAGAAUAAGCACCGGCUAACUUCGUG
rnacentral:rRNA from 1 species